rnacentral:lncRNA from 1 species
UGGCACAAGAAGGGAGCCCUCAAAUGGUCCCUCUUAACCCCCUUGGGAUUUUUUUUUUGUUCUGUUUUUCUUGGCUACGCCUGUGGCAGGCAAAAGUUCCUGGGCCAGGGAUUGAACCAGUACCACGGCAGUGGCAAUGCCAAAUUAUUAACCACUAGGCUGCCAGGAAACUCCUUGAUCCCCUUGCCUAAUACCCUAAGUUCUUGGGAAAUAAUAUUUAUGUUCCUAUGUGGAUCAGAUUCCAACUCAGGUCUAUAAAGCUGUGGCCACAGUAGAGGAAUUAGAUAGUUUAAUAUGGCUGUUCCUAAAUGUGUUUGUAUGUGUGGUGUGUGUGUGUGUGUGUGAGACAGAGAGAGAGAGUAUGGAAAGUCCUCAGAGAAAAUGGUCUGAAUUUUUCAGGCUUUCACACAGGUCUUUUUCCACCUAAGCUGUCGCUGAUGUGUCAGGAAUACAGAAAAAGCAAAGGAUGGACCUUAGACUGUGUGUGCGUGUGUGUGUGUGUGUGUGUGCACGUACACGUGCUUAUGAUGUUAUCAUUAUAUCCCCUGCCGUAUUUUUUCAUGUUAAAUUCUCUUCAAAGCUCAAAUUAAAAACAUGAAAUCCUGGAUUAACUUAUCAUCACCACUAUCAUCAUCAUCUAAUAUAAGUGACACACAGUAAACUACAUAUAUUUAAAGCAUGUAAUUCAAAAAAAUUUGACAUAUGUAUACACCUAUGGGACCAGUCCUAUGAUCAAAGGUAUUGAACACAGUCAUUCCUAAAAGUUUCCUCACACCUCUUAGCGAUCCAUCAUUGUAGCCACUCUCUCCCCCCCAAACAACUACUGGUCUACUUUCUAUCAUCAUGAAUUCAUCUGCAUUUUCUAAAUUUUAUAUAUGUGGAACAAUUAAUACAUACUUUUUUGGUCUGGCUUCCUUUACUCAACAUAAUUAUUUUGAGAUUCAUCUUUUUCUUGGCCCUGCCCACAGCAUGUGGAAGUUCCCUGGCCAGGCAUCGAACCCCCCCACCACAGCAGCCACCUGAGUCACUGAAGGGACAACACUGGAUCCUUAACCCCACUGAGCCACACAGCAACUUCCUAAGAUUCAUCUUCAUUGUUAUUCCAUCAAGGUGCUUACUUAAACAUUUUCUUUGAAAAGAUUUGCAGAAUUCACCAGAAUCAAAGUUCACACCAGCUACCCAUAAAGGUAUGAAAAAUAGAUCUCAGCAAAAUUUGAAAUAAUCACUUUACUCAUUUUUCUUCAAAUCACCAGAGCUUUUUAUGCUGUGUUUAUGCAAAUGAUUAACAAAGAAAAUGGAUUGUAACAAUUUCUAAGCAGUGUCCCAUAACUGCAUUUCUGCUGCUCAGUGAGACAGCCACCAGUAGGUCUGAGGACCCAGAGGGGGCAAGGGAAGCCUCAGGGAAAAGCAGGAAGAGCACAGGUCUUUGAGUUCUAACCCAGCUGUGUGACCCGGAGAAAGUCAUUUCCUGUCUCUGAGACUCAGUUUCCUUAUUCAUUAAAUAGGAAAAUUGGACAGUGGUGUCUCAGCCUUAGGAUUCACAGAAUCUCAAAGUUUGACCGUGUUAUCACGUGAGCUGUCUUCCCUUGGCAAUGCUGAAUCUCAGGCAGAUCAAAUCCACUGCCAAGCCUAGGCCACUCUUCCUCUUCACCUCCUAACAGGGAAUUCACGCUGCCUAGUGGAGGCAGACUUCUUUCCAAUUACCGUGCAACUCCCAGAGGUUUCCUCUUUCAAGAGCCUUUUGCUGACAAAUUCAACCUAUCCAGCAGGCUGCAGUUCCUGGCUUGGAGCCUGUCGUUGGCACAGAAAGAAGAGCCCUCUCCUGGCACAUCUCAGAUUGAUGCUACUUCUGACUCUGGCACAAAGGCUACCACUCCAACUAUUUCUGCAAAGCGCACAGCCCUGGAGCCAGCUUCCUCUACUUCUGGUCCUUCUGAGGGGCCCCUCUCUAUUCUCCUGAGAUUCAGCAGGGCAGCAAGAGCCAGGGUGUGCAGAGAGGAGGACAAGGAAAGGAAGGCAUGGAGCCCAAGAGGCAGGCUGGAUGGAGGAAGCCCUGAAGGAGUGUGCUCACAGCAGAAAUGGAGAGAGACAGAAGCCAUAGCACCUUCAUGCUUCGUAGAUGCCUAAGGACCACCUCAUCCCACUCAGCAUAUUAGAGCAUUUGCCCAUCCGCUCAGCAACUUGCUGCUCUAUCUCACUGAAGCUUCUCAGCAGCCUGAGAAAGUAGGCAAGACCAGUUAUUAUGGCCCCAACCUCCACCCAUUUUACAGAGAGAGAAACCAAUGUUCAGAGUGAUGCAGUGACUUCUCCCAGAACAGAAAAUCAGGCAGCUCGACCCCUGCCUCUUCAGCCUUCGAGCCCUGGAGCCUAUACUCCAGAGACAUUUAUUGAGCAUUUUUCAAGGGUAAGAUACCUUUUUUCUGGCCGCGCCCGCAGCAUGGGGAAGUUCCUGGGCCAGAGAUGGAACCUAAGCCACAGCUGUAAACAGAGCUACUGCAGUGACAACACUGGAUUUUUAACAUGCUGAGCCAUGACAGAACUACUCAAGUGCAAGAUCCUUGAGGGAAUCAAAGAUUUCUAAGAUAUGAUCCCUUCUUUUGGAUAACUUUUUACCAGGUGGAGAAAGCAAUUGCUUCAGUAGAAGGCAGAGGGUAAAGUCACUGCAGGAGGCACCCAAAGAAGUGCUGUAGGUAUGAGAAGGGGAAGCAAGGAAAAUCUUGCUUCUCCUUUGACCCUGGGUUCAAAGACAAAUAAGUCCCAACACCAAACAAACCUUCCAUGGAAGAGAGACAACUGGAAUUUCUCUUCUUAUUUUGAGUAGUGAUCACAAGGAAUAGAAAAAAGAAAUAAGCAAAAGAUAUUUCAAGGGAGGAAAUGCUUUGGGGCCUUUGUCCAAAAAAUAUCUCUUCACACUAACUUUCUUUUAUUAAUGCAUUCAUUUAAUGCAAACCAUUUAAUGCAUCUCAGUUGAAAGGGAGAAAGAAAAAAAGACACCGGAUGACUGACUUUGGGUUUGGUGUCCAAAAAAGGUUAACUUUCAUUAAAUCUGCAGUGGGAAUAAGUUCACUGAAUGAGGAUGGAUAUUACUUUUUACCUUACCCUGUUCUCUGUGUUUGACAUUUUUCCAUGAGGAUGUGUUACUCUUAUGACAAAAGAGAAAUUCAUGUUUUCCUCUCCACCUCUUUCAGCUUAUUUUGCAGUAGGCUUAUUAUCUCUCACCUGCAGUCAUAACCCUUUCAUAACAACUUGUAACAAAAGAGCUGCUGUUUUACAGAGCUUUUGCUAUAUGUAGGGUAGAGGCUAAAUUCUCUAAAUAUCUUCCUCGUUCCUCAGGACGAUGCUCAAAGUGGGUAUUAGUGCCCUCUUUUUAUAGAUGAGGAAACUGAGCCUUAGAGAGAUUAAGUAAUUUGCUCAAACUCACAAAGCUCAGAAACAGUGGAGCCUGGCUUAGAAUCCAGGCAGAACUUGCAAUGGUCCUAACUGGAAGAACCUCGACCAUUCUCUGCUGCCAGUUAUCUUCUUACACCAGAUGUGAUGACAUCACUCCUUUGCUUAAAAUCUGUGAGUUCUUACCCCCACCCUUCCACUGCCUAAAGAACACAACUUAAGCUUCUUAGAACAUCAUUCCCAAGACCAGUUCUCAAUGCAUUCAUCCAUGUGCUCAUUGUAAGUCAACAAAUAACAGCAAGCCCUAACAUUUGUUUCAAAGCAAUUUUUCAUGCAGUCUCCCCAUAUCCCUGUGACAAAGGCAGAAGAGCAAACACUUCUAAGCAGCUUCAAUAGCUUGUAGAGUAUCAGGACAAUAUGCCUUGACAUUCCUUCCUUGUCCAGCCGGUUCUCGAAACUUCCCACCAUGUUUUUGGCAUAUCCUGUUAUUCUAUCCCUUUCUGAUUUGCAGUGCUGUUUCUUCUAGGCCUGCCCUGCACCCUGCCCAGUGAAUGCUUACAAAUCCUUUGUAAUUUCUAGUUUUCAAAUGACCUGCCUUUUAGGGGCUCCCUUAACAACCUGUUGACAUGCCCCAUUUCUGUACUAACUGCACUAGAUUAGAUGCAUUUGCUUGCCUGAUCCGCUUUCCCAGUAGACUGUGACCUUCUCUACAACAGAGGGUUGUGAACAUGGCCUUAGGAAGCUGGGAUGGACUAGUGAUGGAGGAUAGAAUGAAUGAAGACCAAUAUGAUAAGUGGCAAAUCUUUGUUUCUAUUGCUCCUAGGAUUCAUGCAACACUGAAUCAAUACUUAUCAAGAAUGAAGCAUUGUACUAGGGCAGAGAUAAAUACUGAAAUGGUAGUGUGUGUGGGGGUAUUUAGAGAAAGAGGAGAAGGAUAUAUAUUUUUCCUUAUAUUCUUAUAAAUAUGGUGAGUAUAUCACAGAGUGUCCCUUUCUAUACACACAUAAUACAUAUACAUGCAUGUAUAUACAUGGUGUAUAUAUAUUAUGGGUACAUAUAUACAUGUAUAGUGUGUAUAAGCUAUGUUUGUACAUAUGUAGUGUUCAUACAUAUAUUGUGUAUGUUCAUAUACAAAUAUAUAGUAUGCAAAUGCAUGUCUGUGUACAUAUAACAGUGUGUGGACAUAUAGUUUUGUGUGGUAGGUACAUACAGAGUGUAUAUACAGUGUGUAUACAUGUGUUGUGUAUAUAUGCACAUACAUAUGGCCUGGCAUGUAUGUGAUGCCUCUGUGUGCACCAGAAUGCAAUCUGAGCAGAGAUCUGGAGGGUGCACCAGAAGAUGGUAGGAAAGAUAGCCAUUACAAGAAACACAGAUAUUUUUUAAUAAAAUGAAAAACACCUUGAGGCUUGCCUCCCUGCUAAGGAAAGAGUGGAGCGCCUGAAGGAAGAAGAAACAACUAGAGAUUUAGGAAGGAAAACAGCUUAGAGAAACCUCACUCAAAUCAGCAAGAACCACAUUCUAAGAGGCUGGUGAGCCGAAACAGAUACCUUAAAAAUCAAAGCCAAGGAGGAGUUUCCACUGUGGUGCAGUGGCUUAAGGAUCCAACUGCAGCAACUUGGGUUGCUGUGGAGGCAAGGGUUGAUCCUCAGCCUGGCGCAGUGUGCUAAACUAUCUGGGUUUCCACAGCUGUGGCAUAGGUUGCAGGUGCAUCUCAGAUUCAACUCCUGGCCCAGGAACUUGCAUAUGCUGAAGGUGUGGC